rnacentral:rRNA from 1 species
AUUGAACGCUGGCGGCAUGCCUUACACAUGCAAGUCGAACGGCAGCGGGGGAGAAGCUUGCUUUUCCUGCCGGCGAGUGGCGAACGGGUGAGUAAUACAUCGGAACGUGCCCUGUAGUGGGGGAUAACUAGUCGAAAGAUUAGCUAAUACCGCAUACGACCUGAGGGUGAAAGUGGGGGACCGCAAGGCCUCAUGCUAUAGGAGCGGCCGAUGUCUGAUUAGCUAGUUGGUGGGGUAAAGGCCUACCAAGGUGACGAUCAGUAGCUGGUCUGAGAGGACGAUCAGCCACACUGGGACUGAGACACGGCCCAGACUCCGACGGGAGGCAGCAGUGGGGAAUUUUGGACAAUGGGCGAAAGCCUGAUCCAGCAAUGCCGCGUGUGUGAAGAAGGCCUUCGGGUUGUAAAGCACUUUUGUCCGGAAAGAAAUGGCUCUGGUUAAUACCUGGGGUCGAUGACGGUACCGGAAGAAUAAGGACCGGCUAACUACGUGCCAGCCGCCGCUGUAA